GCAUUUUCUCAGCGCGAUACGCGGCAGGAAUACAGUCACAUCGUAUCACCCUCGUUCUCUCGUUCCCCACCGCCCCUGUUCCUUCUCUUCUCGUUCCCCAUCUCCAUCUCCAUCGAAUCCAGCGCACCGCCGGCUCCCUCCUCCACCACCAUGGCCACUCACCGCCGGGUCGCUCCUCCAUGGCCUCGAGCCCUCUCCCCUGUGACGUUCUUCUUCACCCAUAGGCGAUUGUUCUCCACCCACGCCCCGCUGCCUCUAUCGUCAGAUCCGCCAUCGAGGUAAGAUGGAACAGCAUGCCAGCAUGACUACCUCAUCGCCAUCGAGCCUCCUGGUGAGAGGAUGCCGAGCAUCGACGAACAACGAGCAGCAGCAUCACCACCACUGUGAGCAGAUCGGUGAUGGAGAUCUACGCAUUAAGGCAGUGAGGAGUCAAGCGGCUCGGCGGCAAAGCCCAGACACACACCUUCCACAAGCACGCCAGUGGUCAAGAGCUCCAACUCAUCUUUGCCGUCUUCCUCGGAGGUAUCAGCGAUCCAUCUACUUGUUUUUUUUAAACAAGAUUUUUGUUCUUUUCUCAAUCUUUCGAUAUGCAUCUGAUUUCGUGUGUGAUAGUGGUUUUUAUGUGAUGGAUUUUUCACCCAGCACACUUAGGCCUUGUUCGGUUGCACAGGGUUUGAGGGGGAUUAAAGGGGAUUGUGAGGGAUUACAUCCCCUCUUUCGGCAAAUGACUGCUCUUGUUUUGCCCCUCUCCAUAAACAGGAAAACGGAUUGAUGUUAAUGUACUUUUGCAAUUCAUAGUUUGCUGGAAGAAACAAGGACCUUUUUGAUGGCUAUCUCUGGAUUCUUUGGCUACUGUAAUUAUUAUGGCCUCAGUUUUGUACAUGAAACAUACUGAUUUGGUGAAGAACUAUUUGGGGAUAUUUUCUGAAGAAUGAUCUAACAAUAAUUUGGAAUGA